UACGUAGGGGGCAAGCGUUGUCCGGAAUCAUUGGGCGUAAAGAGCGCGUAGGCGGUCCGAUAAGUCGGCUGUGAAAGUCAAGGGCUCAACCCUUGAAAGCCGGCCGAUACUGUCGGACUAGAGUCCGGAAGAGGCGAGUGGAAUUCCCGGUGUAGCGGUGAAAUGCGCAGAUAUCGGGAGGAACACCAAUGGCGAAGGCAGCUCGCUGGGACGGUACUGACGCUGAGACGCGAAAGCGUGGGGAGCGAACAGG
rnacentral:rRNA from 1 species